UACAGAGGGGGCAAGCGUUGUUCGGAAUUACUGGGCGUAAAGGGCGCGUAGGCGGCCUGUUAAGUCGGACGUGAAAUCCCUCGGCUCAACCGGGGAACUGCGUCCGAUACUGGCGGGCUUGAAUUCGGGAGAGGGAUGUGGAAUUCCAGGUGUAGCGGUGAAAUGCGUAGAUAUCUGGAGGAACACCGGUGGCGAAGGCGGCAUCCUGGACCGGUAUUGACGCUGAGGCGCGAAAGCCAGGGGAGGCAAACGGG
rnacentral:rRNA from 1 species